rnacentral:tRNA from 1 species
CAGUGUCUGUUCCAGCAGGGUCGGAAAGCCGCUGCCGGCGGCGGCCUGGAACAGGCGGGCCAGGUGACGGUGCCAGGUCAGGCUGGCGGCAUUGGC